UGGACUAGAGUUUGAUCCUGGCUCAGAGCGAACGCUGGCGGCAGGCUUAACACAUGCAAGUCGAGCGCCCCGCAAGGGGAGCGGCAGACGGGUGAGUAACACGUGGGAACGUACCCUUCAGUUCGGAACAACCCAGGGAAACUUGGGCUAAUACCGGAUACGUCCGUAAGGAGAAAGAUUUAUCGCUGAAGGAUCGGCCCGCGUCUGAUUAGCUAGUUGGUGGGGUAAUGGCCCACCAAGGCUACGAUCAGUAGCUGGUAUGAGAGGAUGAUCAGCCACAUUGGGACUGAGACACGGCCCAAACUCCUACGGGAGGCAGCAGUGGGGAAUAUUGGACAAUGGGGGAAACCCUGAUCCAGCCAUGCCGCGUGAGUGAUGAAGGCCCUAGGGUUGUAAAGCUCUUUUAGCAGGGAAGAUAAUGACGGUACCU
rnacentral:rRNA from 1 species